UACGGGGGGGGCAAGCGUUGUUCGGAAUUACUGGGCGUAAAGGGCUUGUAGGUGGCCAACUAAGUCAGACGUGAAAUCCCUCGGCUUAACCGGGGAACUGCGUCUGAUACUGGAUGGCUCGAGUGUGGGAGAGGGAUGCGGAAUUCCAGGUGUAGCGGUGAAAUGCGUAGAUAUCUGGAGGAACACCGGUGGCGAAGGCGGCAUCCUGGACCAAUUCUGACGCUGAGGAGCGAAAGCCAGGGGAGCAAACGGG
rnacentral:rRNA from 1 species